rnacentral:rRNA from 1 species
ACGAACGCUGGCGGCAGGCCUCACACAUGCAAGUCGAGCGAGGACUUCGGUUCUAGCGGCGGACGGGUGAGUAACGCGUGGGAAUGUGCCCUUCUCUACGGAAUAGCCCUGGGAAACUGGGAGUAAUACCGUAUACGCCCUUUUGGGGAAAGAUUUAUCGGAGAAGGAUCAGCCCGCGUUGGAUUAGGUAGUUGGUGGGGUAAUGGCCUACCAAGCCGACGAUCCAUAGCUGGUUUGAGAGGAUGAUCAGCCACACUGGGACUGAGACACGGCCCAGACUCCUACGGGAGGCAGCAGUGGGGAAUCUUAGACAAUGGGGGCAACCCUGAUCUAGCCAUGCCGCGUGAGUGAUGAAGGCCUUAGGGUUGUAAAGCUCUUUCAGCUGGGAAGAUAAUGACGGUACCAGCAGAAGAAGCCCCGGCUAACUCCGUG